rnacentral:piRNA from 1 species
UGAUGAAAAUAAGAAAGGAUGUUUUUCAU